rnacentral:rRNA from 1 species
AGUGAACGCUGGCGGUAGGCCUAACACAUGCAAGUCGAACGGCAGCACAGUAAGAGCUUGCUCUUACGGGUGGCGAGUGGCGGACGGGUGAGGAAUACAUCGGAAUCUACUUUUUCGUGGGGGAUAACGUAGGGAAACUUACGCUAAUACCGCAUACGACCUACGGGUGAAAGCAGGGGAUCUUCGGACCUUGCGCGAUUCAAUGAGCCGAUGUCGGAUUAGCUAGUUGGCGGGGUAAAGGCCCACCAAGGCGACGAUCCGUAGCUGGUCUGAGAGGAUGAUCAGCCACACUGGAACUGAGACACGGUCCAGACUCCUACGGGAGGCAGCAGUGGGGAAUAUUGGACAAUGGGCGCAAGCCUGAUCCAGCCAUACCGCGUGGGUGAAGAAGGCCUUCGGGUUGUAAAGCCCUGUUGUUGGGAAAGAAAAGCAGCAGGUUAAUACCCCGCUGUUCUGACGGUACCCAAAGAAUAAGCACCGGCUAACUUCGUG